GUAUGAUGGACUCCCACCAACUGGCACAGGCGCCUGCGCUGAGUGGCUUGCCUUACUGGUAGGUGGGAAAAAGUGACUUCUGUUUAGGCGUAAAGCAGCGAAAAACACUGAGAAAAUGUCGAGGGGCACUGUGGCAAAGGACAAUCGGGUGCACAGUGAAUACCUCAGGAAUGAAUACUUUGCAUGGGAAGGGACUGGAGACUGAAAGGCCGUGAAGGAAUUUUUCCGCUAAUUGAGGAAACCAAAGGUACCAGUCUUCACUCGGUGAAGCGGAGUGGAAAAAACAAAACACACACACACGAGAAGAACCACCAACAGACAAUAAAACCAAACGCGUAAAAGACAGAAAUUGAGCGGCGAAAGAAGAGGCUGAAAGGCUGUUCGUUCAUUGACGAGUUGAAUAAUCUCUAGUAAAAGCCCGGAGACAAUGCAUUUAAAACUUGGGACACAUGUGUCAGGACCUGAGGUAUUCAGCAUUAGUCAGUCAACAUGUCCCUGCUGUGUGUGUGGAGUGCUCUUCUAAAUUCUGUGGGGUGUGAUGAUGGCAGUAUUUCCUGGAGAAGCAUGCUGUAUAAAGGAGAACUGGAAUAAACACAAGUGUGACAGAACUGCAACUAAGUGAUUGGAAGAAAAGGAGCGUGGUUUCGGGCUGCGCGCUGACUAGGGCGCCACUCGCGAGGCCGCAACAGAGCCCGCAGCGCCGCCAUCGGCGAGCCAGAGCCUUCCAGCCCCGGAGCAUCGAACUGCGGACACCCUUCAGCUGGGCGAGUUUGAGGAGCCGCCUGCAACCUUCGAGUGAGCUCGGCGCGCACAGAACACCGCUCUGGACGCGCGCCUCGGCGCAGACAAGAGGACUGGAUUUUACAAAACAUGAGUUUUACAUAGAAGAUAGAGAACAUGGAAAAUACCUCAAGCAAAGUGACAUCAACCUGAAGGUUUAAUUCUGAUCCCAUCCAGGACUCCAUAAUAUAUCAAGGUAUCAUGUCUCCUUAGGCUCUAAGAAGGUGUUUUCAUUCAAUGACCUUGACAGUUUUGAGUGCUGAUAAGGGCUUCCUGUCAAGAAGAGGAACAAAUUAUGAUUUCUAAUAUCUUGGUGGUGGUGGUGGUAAUAAAGAAAAGGAUUCGGGAGAGACAAAGCUGCAUGAUGCUAUUACCUUCACAGAUGGGGAUAAUGGAAAGUUUCUGGUGGAAUGUGAGAUGAGCGAGUGAAGGAACAAGAGCCAUUAGAUACCAAAUUCACCUACUUCUCAGUUGUGCCCGGUUCCUGGGACAAUGGCGGUAACGUUGAGCCCCCCUGCAGCCUUGGGAGUGGAGAGCUGCUGCUCCUGAAAGUCUUUCUUCUCCCUACCCUAUUGGAAUACGUCCACAAAACUGAUAAGGAUUGCUGUGAGAAGAUAGAAUGAGAUGGUAGUUUGCAGGUUGGCGUUUUGCACUUAAGUACCCAGGUUAAAACUGUCAUAGAAACAACAAAGUCCUUGCUACCUGUGAUGACCUGAAAAUAAAAUGCAGAACAAUCCUGCUAGAGCCUGGGAUCGGGAAGUCCUCACGGGAAGAAAGCCAGGAGGAAAGAAAGGUUUCUAGACCACGUGUUUCGGCAGCAGUGGCACGGCACCAUCUUAACAGCCACCAUGUAAAAUGUAGAAAGUUCUUGUGGUAGCUGGUCUUCAGAGAUGGCCUCCCAGUGAAUUACACCUUCCAGUAUUCAUGCCUUUGUGUAGUCUUUCCCCACACUGAACCUGGGCUGGCCCCAUUUAACAAAUAGACUGCAGUAGUGGUGAUGCUUUGUGACUUCUAAGGAUAGAACACAAGAAGCCUUGUAGCCUCUGCCUUGGUUUCUUAGAACUCUUAUUCUGGGGGAAGCAAGCAGCCAUUUGAAAUUUACCUUGAGACCACCAUGCUGUGAGGAAACCCAAUCUAGACUCAUUGAGAGCCCACGUGAAGAGAGAGACACCUGACCAGUCUGCCCAGUUAAGGUGUAAAUCAUGUGAUGGAAGAAGCUGUCUUGGAUGUCCAACACAAAACAUCAGAUGAAGUCAGCCCCAGCUACCACCUGAUGACGAAAGCAUGAAAGACUCCAAAGGAGAAUCACCAGAAUGAGCUGCAGCCACCAUGAUGUCUUGUUGCCAGAAGGCUGGAGCUCAAGUUCUUCCUCUCAGUCCUGGAGAUGCUGCCACUAUGCCAUCACGAAAUGCAGUUGAGAGGGCAAGCACUUGAUUGAUGCAUCCCAGGGCUGCUUGGUGCUCCAUUUAGAAGGGAGUUGAGCAUGAUACAGCUUCUGUCAUCUCUGCAUGUUAAAACAAUCUAAGUACAGUUGACUGAGAUCAAUUUUCUGGUUAACGAUGAAGAUUUAUAGAACAGCAGGAGAAGUUGACUCCUGGUGGUCAUUUCGAGGAAAGCCAACUCUGCUCAAAGGAUGGCUGCUGACCUGAUGUUCCUGCUAAAUAUUGACACAGCCCAACUGACUCAUGUUUUUGUCAAAGAGUUUAGAAUAUGAAGAAACUGGAUGACUAGAAUACAAUAUGAAUUGCUUUGCAUUUCCAAACCUUCUAAACUUUCAAGCAUAUACUUGUUUCACCACAUUUAACUAUGUAAAGAGAAGAUGUUUUUUUCACUGGGCUGGUUUUUUUUCUUUCUUUCUUUUUUUUUUAAAGCAUUGCUUAAUAUCUGUGUUAAAUAAAUCUUAGUCAAUGUCAGGAUAUUGUGGGAUUUUUUUUUUUUUUUUUAAUACAGGGAAAGAAAUUUAGAAGUGUUUGUAAAUGUUUAUGUCUAUAAACCCCUUCUGGUGGGUUUGACCCAUGACAUAUAUGAAGCCUUGAUCCACUAUUUGGAGAGAACUUGAAUCUCAAACCAGAUCCUGAAAGAGUAGGACUAAUGUUCCCAGAACUUAAAAUGAAAACUUCCUGUUACUAGGAAACCUGAAGUCAAGUCACACGAUUUUAAGCACUAUGUACCAUUCAUCAAUGCUAUGCAAACCCGCCGCGAUUUUGCCAAGCUGGAAAACUUGCCAUCAGAACCCAACCGAAGGACAAACUUAAUAACCCAUCAUACUCCCCAAGCCCCUAGCGAAAAGACUUCCUCGUGAGUCCCUGGCUCCCAGCCCCUGGACCGGCCACAACGGAGCAGUGUGCUCCGGGGAGAGCUAGGCAGGAGGGCAGCGCGUCCUGGAGCCGCGCAUA